rnacentral:rRNA from 1 species
AUGCUAACCCAAUCCUCUUCAUCUGUUGUUGACGUUGUGCCAUCGCCUAUGUUUAGUAUCCAGUUUGCGAAUUCAACUGUUUUUGCUUUCUCUUCUCAACUACCUUCGGAUGAAUUCAGACGCAUAUUUUCUUUGAGUCGGUACUCCUCAAAGUUCUUCCAUAGGCAGGAUCUCUUUAUUGAUGCAGAAAUGAUAUGUUCUCUUUUCCCCUUCGGUAUAACUGGUAGGAUUUGCCUAAAGUCACCUCCCAAGACUACUGUCAUUCCUCCAAAUGGUCUAUGCUUUGCGCCCUCAUAUGUGAAUCGAAUUGGCGCAUUUGAGGAGCAGAGGCCCAAUGGGAUGCUUCCAUGA